UCUCCUUCGACUCCGUAAUGUGUCUAUGCCUCAUUGCUUCAUUUUCAGCCUUCCAGCUUUAAUAUCUCUACUUUCACACUGUGGACCUCCGCUCUGGUGCUGCCACAUUUGUAGGGCUUAUUGAACGUGGAGCGCCACAUGCCAUGUUAAUCAAUAGCUCGAGUGCUCCAUCGGAGCUACAAGUAUACUUGCCAAGAUUGCCAUCUGCCUAAUACUCGCCUGCCUAAUGAGGAACCGCUGGCCUAAAAAUAAUGAGCCGAGGAGCUCUUUGUGAACCGGAUCGGGUUUGUUUUGAACAGAUGAAACCAUGAAUCAAGGUGGCCCAUUUCUUUACACACAAAAUUGAAGUGUCAAAUGAUCAAACAUGAAGCACAGCACUGCUUGUUUGGGGAGGAUUUGUGUUCAUUUGGCUAACGGAAUCAUCUAGGAAGCAAGGCAACAUUGCAAGGUGCAGACUGUGUAUAUUUUGGGCACCAACUGGAAACCUACAAGACUGACCAAGAAAGGGCUGGAGUGGGCCUCACAGGUGUGGGACAGUGAUGUGCCAGUUUGUAGUUCCUUCACUUAUUUCUCUCAACAAAUCAAAGACAUCUUAGAAUACACCACUGGUGGGAAGGAUCAGUUCAACUGAUGCAGCGAUGUCAGGGCAAUAACCGCUUUGUAUUACGCAGUACACUUUUGCCCAUUAGUGCAUAUAAUGCGUGUAGAAUGACACAGCUGUAUGGGUGGUUUUUUUUCUCUGCAAAGAUGAGUCUCUGACCCUGUCACAUUACAUCCAUCUAGCCAUCUGACACAAUAACCUCAUCUGCAACCAACCACCUUCCAGCAGGCCGCAGUCCUUCCUUGGAUAUGUAGAAACCCCCAGCCACGUUUCCCAGGGGUUACGCAAACCCACGCAAUUGGGGUAAACUCUGAUCUCUGCUGAGGAGCACCAGCAUUGUCUCUGCUAGUAACAGUCUGCAGAGAUCUAUCUGUCGUCACAAUCUGCUUUGAAGAAUCUGGUCUGGCUUUUUUGGAUUGUUUGAUAUGCUACUUGCUUUCUUGUUUGGAAACUUUGCUUGAUUCUGUACUCAUUCCUUUGCUUGACAAUUUGAAUAGUUUGCCUCCUUUUUUUUAAUGAACUUGUUUUUUCAAUUUAUUUACUAUGCACGGAUUCCAUUUCCCUAUUGUCAG